ACGGGCAUAGUAUAAGGGUAGUACAGAGGUCUCCAAAACCUUCGGUCUGGGUUCGAAUCCUGGUGCCCGUGCUA
rnacentral:tRNA from 1 species